GCAUAUCAAUAAGCGGAGGAAAAAGAGAACCAACCGGGGAUUGCCUCAGUAACGGCGAGUGAAGCGGCAAGAGCUCAAAAUUUGAAAUCUGGCCCCUUCGGGGUCCGAGUUGUAAUUUGCAGAGGAUGCUUCGGAUGCGGCCCCUGUCUAAGUGCCCUGGAACGGGCCGUCGGAGAGGGUGAGAAUCCCGUCUGGGAUGGGGUGUCCGUGUCCGUGUGAAGCUCCUUCGACGAGUCGAGUUGUUUGGGAAUGCAGCUCUAAAUGGGUGGUAAAUUUCAUCUAAAGCUAAAUACUGGCCGGAGACCGAUAGCGCACAAGUAGAGUGAUCGAAAGAUGAAAAGCACUUUGAAAAGAGAGUUAAACAGCACGUGAAAUUGUUGAAAGGGAAGCGCAUGCGACCAGACUCGCUCGCGGGGUUCAGCCGGCAUUCGUGCCGGUGUACUUCCCCGCGGGCGGGCCAGCGUCGGUUUGGGCGGCCGGUCAAAGGCCCCCGGAAUGUAUCACCUCUCGGGGUGUCUUAUAGCCGGGGGUGCAAUGCGGCCAGCCUGGACCGAGGAACGCGCUUCGGCACGGACGCUGGCAUAAUGGUCGUAAGCGACCCGUCUUGAAACACGGACCAAGGAGUCUAACAUCUACGCGAGUGUUCGGGUGUCAAACCCGUACGCGCAGUGAAAGCGAACGGAGGUGGGAGCUUCGGCGCACCAUCGACCGAUCCUGAUGUCUUCGGAUGGAUUUGAGUAAGAGCGUAAAUGUGGGGACCCGAAAGAUGGUGAACUAUGCCUGAAUAGGGUGAAGCCAGAGGAAACUCUGGUGGAGGCUCGCAGCGGUUCUGACGUGCAAAUCGAUCCGUCAAAUUUGGGUAUAGGGGCGAAAGACUAAUCGAACCAUCUAGUAGCUGGUUCCUGCCGAAGUUU
rnacentral:rRNA from 1 species